rnacentral:misc_RNA from 1 species
GAUGAAGAACGUAGCGAAAUGCGAUAAGUAAUGUGAAUUGCAGAAUUCAGUGAAUCAUCGAAUCUUUGAACGCACAUUGCGCCCCCUGGUAUUCCGGGGGGCAUGCCUGUCCGAGCGUCAUUGCUGCCCUCAAGCACGGCUUGUGUGUUGGGCCCCGUCCUCCGAUCCCGGGGACGGGCCCGAAAGGCAGCGGCGGCACCGCGUCCGGUCCUCGAGCGUAUGGGGCUUUGUCACCCGCUCUGUAGGCCCGGCCGGCGCUUGCCGAUCAACCCAAAUUUUUAUCCAGGUUGACCUCGGAUCAGGUAGGGAUACCCGCUGAACUUAAGCAUAUCAAUAAGCGGAGGA